CGAGGUCAAUGUCUCAACCACAGGGAACACAACGCCUCUUAGAAUGACGUGGAAUCCACGUCACCCAGCACUUCACCAUUGCGGGACCUCGUUCUUGGGGAUGGCUGGUUUCUACGGACGGUUCUGUAGGAACUUCUCCACCCUGGCCGCCUCCCGUGACUGAUCUUCUGCGACCAAGCCUUGCAACAUCUUUAGGCGUCUCUUUCCCAGAGCCACUGGUCUGGACGCUAGAUCACUCCCGCCCCUCCCCUCCCAUCUACCCGCCCCUCCCAUCUACAAGAGAACGCAAGUGGGGUUGGAGUGGGUGCUGUCCUAUAAGCGGACCCCACAGGCGGCAUCCUCCAUCCCAUCGCCUAUCACUCCGCCAACUCGACUACUCCGCCAUCGAGAAGGAGGCCAGUGGCACUUGUCCUGGCGCUUCAACGAUUUAGGGUUAUAUUUAUUUGUUAUCUGUAUGCAAGUUUGUUUUGUUAUUGGGUUAUUAAAUAGUUUCUUAA